UACGGGGGGAGCAAGCGUUGUUCGGAUUUACUGGGCGUAAAGGGCGCGUAGGCGGUCAGCACAAGUCAGUUGUGAAAUCUCCGGGCUUACCUCGGAAAGGUCAACUGAUACUGUGCGACUAGAGUGCGGAAGGGGCAACUGGAAUUCUUGGUGUAGCGGUGAAAUGCGUAGAUAUCAAGAGGAACACCUGCGGCGAAGGCGGGUUGCUGGGCCGACACUGACGCUGAUGCGCGAAAGCCAGGGGAGCGAACGGG
rnacentral:rRNA from 1 species